UGGGUUCGACUCCCGGUA
rnacentral:siRNA from 1 species